AACGAACGCUGGCGGCAUGCCUAACACAUGCAAGUCGAACGAGACCUUUGGGUCUAGUGGCGCACGGGUGCGUAACGCGUGGGAAUCUGCCCUUGGGUUCGGAAUAACAGUGAGAAAUUGCUGCUAAUACCGGAUGAUGUCUUCGGACCAAAGAUUUAUCGCCCAGGGAUGAGCCCGCGUAGGAUUAGCUAGUUGGUGGGGUAAUGGCCUACCAAGGCGACGAUCCUUAGCUGGUCUGAGAGGAUGAUCAGCCACACUGGGACUGAGACACGGCCCAGACUCCUACGGGAGGCAGCAGUGGGGAAUAUUGGACAAUGGUCGCAAGCCUGAUCCAGCAAUGCCGCGUGAGUGAUGAAGGCCUUAGGGUUGUAAAGCUCUUUUACCAGGGAUGAUAAUGACAGUACCUGGAGAAUAAGCUCCGGCUAACUCCGUG
rnacentral:rRNA from 1 species